GGUGGUCAUGAGCGAGGGCAUAGGAAAAGGAUAGCAAAUCACCAUGGAAAUUUCUACAAUAUUUUGUUGAUCAGCGACGAUCGCCAUAAUGAAGUGCUUGUGGCGAAGGCCUUGCCAGAAAUUUUUCCAUCACUCACCACCAGCGAUGCCAAAAAACUGUUCUGGAAGUCACAGGAGAACUGCUAUGCAAUCAUCUUUGUCACGCAUUCCAAAGAGCUUGCUGAGAUCUACGUGCGGAGAAUGAUGUCAUGGGGACUGCACGCGGCGAUGGAGCCAGAACUUUUCAUACGGGCCAAGUGAGUUGAAGGUACUGCAGUCAUGCUAAAUUUUGUUCCACACGUUGA